rnacentral:rRNA from 1 species
UACAGAGGGUGCAAGCGUUAAUCGGAAUUAUUGGGCGUAAAGCGCGCGCAGGCGGUCCCUUAAGUCUGAUGUGAAAGCCCACGGCUCAACCGUGGAGGGUCAUUGGAAACUGGGGGACUUGAGUACAGAAGAGGAAAGCGGAAUUCCACGUGUAGCGGUGAAAUGCGUAGAGAUGUGGAGGAACACCAGUGGCGAAGGCGGCUUUCUGGUCUGUAACUGACGCUGAGGCGCGAAAGCGUGGGGAGCAAACAGG